rnacentral:rRNA from 1 species
GGGCCCGCACAAGCGGUGGAGCAUGUGGUUUAAUUCGAUGAUACGCGAGGAACCUUACCAGGGCUUAAAUGUAAGUUGCAUUAGUUAGAGAUAGCUAUUUCUUCGGACCACUUACAAGGUGCUGCAUGGUUGUCGUCAGCUCGUGCCGUGAGGUGUCAGGUUAAGUCCUAUAACGAGCGCAACCCCUGUUGUUAGUUGCCAGCGAGUCAUGUCGGGAACUCUAACAAGACUGCCGGUGCAAACCGUGAGGAAGGUGGGGAUGACGUCAAAUCAUCACGGCCCUUACGUCCUGGGCUACACACGUGCUACAAUGGUCGGUACAGAGAGCAGCCACUACGCGAGUAGGAGCGAAUCUUCAAAGCCGAUCACAGUUCGGAUCGGAGUCUGCAACUCGACUCCGUG